UGGGCAACCUGCCCUCAGCUCUGGGAUAACUCCAAGAAAUUGGGGCUAAUACCGGAUAUGACCGCUGACCGCAUGGUCUGGUGGUGGAAAGAUUUAUCGGCUGGGGAUGGGCCCGCGGCCUAUCAGCUUGUUGGUGGGGUAGUGGCCUACCAAGGCGACGACGGGUAGCCGGCCUGGAGAGGGGUGACCGGCCACACUGGGACUGAGACACGGCCCAGACUCCUACGGGA
rnacentral:rRNA from 1 species